AUUAUUUAUAUGAAAUACAUUCCACUUAACAUGAUAACGAUCUUUGGGGUCUGAGAAUUGAAUUAGUGGGCAAUUCUCACUGUUUACUAUUAUUAUCCCAUAAAUAUCCCCACAGGUUUCUGAGCCUUUAAAUGGUCUCUCAGUCUGGUUCAGUAGAAAUCACAAUCAUGGGUCAAGACUGCUGACCUGACAGUUGUGCAGAAAACCAUCAUUGACACCC